rnacentral:rRNA from 1 species
UACGUAGGUGGCAAGCGUUAUCCGGAAUUAUUGGGCGUAAAGCGCGCGUAGGCGGUUUUUUAAGUCUGAUGUGAAAGCCCACGGCUCAACCGUGGAGGGUCAUUGGAAACUGGAAAACUUGAGUGCGGAAGAGGAAAGUGGAAUUCCAUGUGUAGCGGUGAAAUGCGCAGAGAUAUGGAGGAACACCAGUGGCGAAGGCGACUUUCUGGUCUGUAACUGACACUGAUGUGCGAAAGCGUGGGGAUCAAACAGGAUUAGAUA